rnacentral:rRNA from 1 species
CGUUAGCGGCGGACGGGUGAGUAACACGUGGAUAACCUACCUAUAAGACUGGGAUAACUUCGGGAAACCGGAGCUAAUACCGGAUAAUAUAUUUAACCGCAUGGUUCAAUAGUGAAAGACGGUUUUGCUGUCACUUAUAGAUGGAUCCGCGCCGCAUUAGCUAGUUGGUAAGGUAACGGCUUACCAAGGCAACGAUGCGUAGCCGACCUGAGAGGGUGGUCGGCCACACUGGAACUGAGACACGGUCCAGACUCCUACGGGAGGCAGCAGCC